ensembl:lncRNA
GGGCAGGGCUGGCGGGGAGCCGUGCUUGAAAAGGGAAGAAAAACAAAGGAAGCAAACAAAAACAGAGAAGAAAAGCCAUGGCAAAGCCAGGUGCCCUUGUGGAGAAGUCCUCUGACAGGAUGAAUCAUGAUCUGGGAGAAUUAAUAGCUGUAGACGGCGUCAGAUUGGGUUGCUGUUGAACCAAGGCUUCAAGCAAGCCAAGGCCAACACUUCUGCUGGAAGAUGUGAUCCUGGAGCUCCUUGGAAGAACCUCAGGGCAGGGGUUGGCACACAAACCCCCAUUUUCAAGGAGCCCUGUGAUCACUAGGUGAUGGUCAGAAGGAAGAUUCCAGAGAAGGUGUUACCCUAGACACAUGGAAAGCAUAUUGCAGAGAAUUUCCAGCAGAGGUGACUGGCUUUAAUGAUGGCUUCUCUUAUCAGCCAAGCCUUAGAAGAAUAAUUUAGCUUUGUUGACUGUCCUUCCCAUCUUGAAAGUAUUGUGGUCCCAAAUAAAAUUUCUCAUGCUGGACACACUAAGGCAGCAGUGAAAGGCAAUGGAAAAGGAGCCCAGAAAACAAUUUGUUUAUUAUAAGCAGGUCAGUCCUCCGGGGAAUUCGUGGAAUCAUGCAGUGGGAGAGGACAAUCACGGCACUGAAAUGGGUCUGGAGGAUCUGACAUUAAGAAACAUGGCAAUGACCAACAGAAAGAAGAAAGUACAACUGCUCCUGGGAUUUUCAAUCUUCUCAUUGAUAGAUCUUAUUAAAGAAUGCCUAAGAAUUUAUAUAUAUAUAUAUAUAUAUAUAUAUAUAUUUCCACAACAAAAUAUAAUAGUACUUGUUGCAUUAGAAAUAUGUCAAGAACACUUUGGGGAUGCAUCAAACUAUAUUUCAGAAAUAAGUGUCCAAAUGUUGAUUUUUUAAUUUUUUUUUUUUUUUUUUUUUGAGUGAUACACUGUAUUUAUUAUUAGGACAAAAUCUGUCACGCAGAAAAGAUUUUUUAGCCCUUAGGUGUACUCAUGAAUGUGCAAAAACUACUUCAACAGUGGAGAGCCUCAGCAAAUUGUUGUAAACACGUGUCCUUGCAUGUAGAUCUUCAUGUAUGUACAGGUAUAGAUUGAUAAAGAUAUAUUGAAGUAAAUGUUUCAAGGGAAAACAAUUCAAGACUUUAUGAAACUUAAAUAAACCUCAGUUGG